GCAUGCCUAACACAUGCAAGUCGAACGGGGGUAGCAAUACCCUAGUGGCGAACGGGUGAGUAACACGUGAGCAACCUGCCUUAUACAACGGGAUACCUGCGAGAAAUCGUAGUUAAUACGGUAUAAGACCACACUCCGGCAUCGGAGAGGGGUAAAAGAUUUUAUCGGUAUAAGAUGGGCUCGCGGCGCAUUAGCUAGUUGGUACGGUAACGGCGUACCAAGGCGACGAUGCGUAGCCGACCUGAGAGGGUGAUCGGCCACACUGGGACUGAGAUACGGCCCAGACUCCUACGGGAGGCAGCAGUGGGGAAUAUUGGGCAAUGGGCGCAAGCCUUACCCAGCAAUGCCGCGUGAAUGAAGAAGGUCUUCGGAUUGUAAAGUUCUUUAGUCAGGGACGAAAAAAAUGACGGUACCUGAAGAAUAAGCCACGGCUAACUACGUGCCAGCAGCCGCGGUAAUACGUAGGUGGCAAGCGUUGUCCGGAUUUACUGGGUGUAAAGGGCGUGCAGCCGGGAGUGCAAGUCAGAUGUGAAAUCCAUGGGCUCAACCCAUGAACUGCAUUUGAAACUGUACUUCUUGAGUACUGGAGAGGCAAUCGGAAUUCCUAGUGUAGCGGUGAAAUGCGUAGAUAUUAGGAGGAACACCAGUGGCGAAGGCGGAUUGCUGGACAGCAACUGACGGUGAGGCGCGAAAGUGUGGGGAGCAAACAGGAUUA
rnacentral:rRNA from 1 species